rnacentral:rRNA from 1 species
UACAGAGGUCUCAAGCGUUGUUCGGAUUCAUUGGGCGUAAAGGGUGCGUAGGCGGCGCGGUAAGUCGGGUGUGAAAUCUCGGAGCUUAACUCCGAAACUGCAUUCGAUACUGCCGUGCUUGAGGACUGGAGAGGAGACUGGAAUUUACGGUGUAGCAGUGAAAUGCGUAGAUAUCGUAAGGAAGACCAGUGGCGAAGGCGGGUCUCUGGACAGUUCCUGACACUGAGGCACGAAGGCCAGGGGGAGCAAACGGG